rnacentral:rRNA from 1 species
CCUACGGGAGGCUGCAGUCGAGAAUCUUUCGCAAUGGGCGCAAGCCUGACGAAGCGACGCCGUGUGAGCGAAGAAGGCCUUCGGGUUGUAAAGCUCUUUCGCUAAGGAACUGGUACUUGGUAAAGAAGCACCGGCUAACUCCGUGCCAGCAGCUGCGGUAAUACGGAGGGUGCAAGCAUUGAUCGGAAUUACUGGGCGUAAAGGGCGCGCAGGCGGUCAGGAAAGUCAGAUGUGAAAUUCCGGGGCUCAACCCCGGAGCUGCAUUUGAAACUUCCUGACUAGAGUUCAGUUAGGGAAAACGGAAUUCCACGUGUAGCGGUGAAAUGCGUAGAUAUGUGGAAGAACACCGGUGGUGAAGACGGUUUUCUGGUGAUACUGACGCUGAGGCGCGAAAGCAAGGGGAGCAAACAGGAUUAGAUACCCGUGUAGUC